CAGCCAUUCGGUCAGAUGGGUCCAUCUGUUGUUAUCACUCCAUCCCCAUUUUCACCUGGAGGACAUUUUCGUAAAAGUUUUGUGAAAAAUCGACAUUCCAGAAAAUCUCAAGUUGAAAUGAAAGUAGCUGAAGAAGAUUCUUCAACACCCGAUGAACAAUCAGAUGAUGCUGCAUCAUCUGCAGAUAUCAAAGAUCAGCAUGAUUAUAAUGAAAUUUUUCAUCCUAGGAGAGAAUGUAAAUAAUUUUAAAUUCUAUCAAACAAAUUAUAAAUAAGCAAACUUUUUUGUUAAUAUUGCUACUUUUAUCCUCA
rnacentral:lncRNA from 1 species